CAGCGGAUCGCUGACCGCGUAAAUGCGUAAGUUACACGUCAAAAGCAUGAUCCUUAAUAUUUGAGCCAUGAAUAUAUAAAUAUCCCAGUUAAGAAUUCUUAAAGAACCUACCACAUAACCCCUUUCUUCUUAAAAAAAUAUGUACUCCGAUGGCUGCCAAGCGGUCAGCGGAUCAAGUAUAAAAAUGAAGUAUAGAACCGUGAUGUUGAUAGGUUUUCAAUGUAGUGAGUCCCCGGGACCCACAGGUGGCGAGUUGGGUGGGUCCCUGAGAAAUUCAAUGGGUCCCGAGUCGACUCCCCAGUUUAAAAAAUUUAUUUCUUUUUUAUUAUUAUUCUAUUUCUUAAGUUAAAUUAAUAGUGUUAAACUCCUUGAUGGUGGUAUGAUAUGGUUAUAAUAAACGGAUUUAUUAAUGUAUGUUCAAAAUGUAAUUGUAUGCUGACCUGCAAUAGGUUUCAUCUUUUUCUUUGGUGGCAUUUUUGCGUUCUCUCUUCUCUGCCUGUUUCUCGAGAAAAACGGGAUCUCGUUGGAAGCGCGAUGUAUGCGCAGGCGCCGUUUGGGCAUAACAAAAUGGCGGCUGCCGUUCAAUGUAGUUUUCAUCACCACCACCGGAUUAUGUUUCAUUUAUUUCAUUACAGCACGUCCCCUAAACGUUACAACAUAAUCGACACGAAUGAGCACAGCAUCGAGCAGUGGAAACGUGGGUUUAUUUACUAUGAAGUUCGUAUUUUUAAUUGUUGAAAUGAAAUCAGCGGUGACGAGCUAGUUGUUUUGGUAGCGGCUAAAUUAGCAUGUCGCGAUACUUUGUACAGGGGAUCACGUCUGCGCCGAGUAGAUGCGCAGAGGGUUGAAACAGCGCUUGUCCAGUCUGCUCACAAGAAGGUUUCUUUGGCCAGUUACUGUGAUUAAACACGAGUUGUUUAAUGUUCACAAUGUAUCGUUUUUCAUGGGGGAAAUGAGAUGCGUCCCCGGGACGCAUGGAUAGUGAGUUUAGUGCGUCCUUUCAGAUUUUAAUGCGUCAGGGACGCAGGACGCGUACCUAGCAACAUCACUGAUAGAAAACAUACAAACUGGAGUUUGCAGGUCUGCAUCAAAGUGAUGCUCACAAGGCAUCAGACCGUGGCCUAUAUCGCUGCCGCGGUAGAAGUCCCCGCCCACCUGGAGGCAGAGGCUCGGGAAUUAAUAUGUCCCGAGUCAAUGCUCGUCCCUCUGCGAGAGAUGGCAGAGGUCGAGGACAUUACACUGGUGACUGUUCAGGGCUGGGUCAAAGAACUAGGUGCGUUCCACCCGCACACAACACCCGGUGGCCCGCCAGUGCCUCGAAGGACCGUGGUGCUGAAAGAUGUAAGGAAUUGGGACUGAGCCUCCACUCGACAGGGCACACUUCAGUGGAAGUUAUCAAUGGAGACAAGGAGGUCCAGGUCAUGGGGUACAGGACCCUCCCAGACAGGGACAUGGAGGUCCUGGACCCCAGUGACAAUGAACACGUCGUUCCACAGGCCAUGUGGGAUGCAGUCGUUGGCAAGACCGUCCCAGCCAUGCCUUUCCAAUUAUUAUUUAAAUUUGAAAAGGCCAAAUUACUUAAAUUACUUUAAGGGAGGAGUAGUCAUCGCCCCCCCCCCCUCCUGUUCGAGUUUUGUUUAACUGACAUUAAAUAAUUA